rnacentral:rRNA from 1 species
UACCAGACUCCUACGGGAGGCAGCAGUGAGGAAUAUUGGUCAAUGGCCGGAAGGCUGAACCAGCCAAGCCGCGUGAAGGACGAAGGUGCCAAGCAUUGUAAACUUCUUUUGUCAAGGGACAAAAUCAGGCUCGAGAGCCUGACCGAGGGUACUUGAAGAAAAAGCAUCGGCUAACUCCGUGCCAGCAGCCGCGGUAAUACGGAGGAUGCGAGCGUUAUCCGGAUUUAUUGGGUUUAAAGGGUGCGGAGGGGGGGCUGUAAGGUCGGGGGAAAACGCCCGGGCCCCCACCCGGGCGAGCCGUUGAAACUGGCUGUCUUGAGAUGUCGAGAGGUAUGCGGAAUGCGCAGUGUAGCGGUGAAAUGCUUAGAUAUUGCGCAGAACUCCGAUUGCGAAGGCAGCAUACCGGCGGCGAUCUGACGCUGAGGCACGAAAGCGUGGGUAUCGAACAGGAUUAGAUACCCUUGUA